rnacentral:tRNA from 1 species
GCCUGGCUAGCUCAUUUGGUAGAGCGUGUGACUCUCGAUCUCAGGGUUAUUGGUUUGAGCCCCACGUUGGGUG